AUAAAAGGACACCCUACACCCAGCGUUCCAUCAAGUCUUCCAGUGCCUAUUACCUUCAACCUGCAAAAGUUUCACAUACUGAGGAGAGGACAUGAAUCAAGAACUUGACCACAACAGUUACUUUUCCUGCAUCAGGGUAAGCUGGUGCCACUGGACAGAAACAGCUGACAUGAAACCCACAGAAGAAGGCUCUCUUCUUUAAAGAUACUAUUUGGCAUGCAAAGUGCCCUGGCAUAAGGCGCAGGAGAAGAAACAAUUGACUAAACAGAAUUAUCUCAGGAGGAGAGCAGCCUUCACGGUCAGCACAGACUUAACUGUGGCCUUGGUGUAACUUGGAAGCUCUCACUGUUACCUGCCAGGCAAGAAAGAGC